rnacentral:snRNA from 1 species
UGGCUUCAGCAGCACAUAUGCCAAAAAUUGGAAUGAUUAGCAUGGCCCCUGAGCAAGGAUGACUGGGAAAUUCACAAAGCGUUUCAUAUGUGC